CCUACGGGUGGCUGCAGUGAGGAAUAUUGGUCAAUGGCCGGAAGGCUGAACCAGCCAAGCCGCGUGAGGGAGGAAGGCGCAGAGCGUCGCAGACCUCUUUUGCCGGGGGACAAAAGGUCGGACUCGUCCGUUCCUGAGGGUACCCGGAGAAAAAGCAUCGGCUAACUCCGUGCCAGCAGCCGCGGUAAUACGGAGGAGGCGAGCGUUAUCCGGAUUGAUUGGGUUUAAAGGGUGCGCAGGCGGGCCGUUAAGCCGGCGGUGAAAUCGCGGGGCUCAACCCCGCCGAGCCGUUGAAACUGGGGGCCGUGAGUGCGGCAGAGGCAGGCGGAAUGCGCGGUGUAGCGGUGAAAUGCAUAGAGAUCGCGCAGAACACCGAUUGCGAAGGCAGCGUGCCGGGC
rnacentral:rRNA from 1 species